GUGGUCUAGUGGUAGAAUAGUACCCUGCCACGGUACAGACCCGGGUUUGAUUCCCGACGAACA
rnacentral:tRNA from 1 species